AGGUGAAACACGUCACUUCCGGUAGUGACUGAGCCCCGCGGCGCGCGCCGGCUCCGCCAGGAGCGUGGGGUUGCCACGGCAACCAGCGCGGGCUGCCCUAGGGAUCCUCCCGAGUAGGAAGCUCCCGCGCCAGCUGCGCUCCGCGUUGGGAUAACAUUUAUUUAUAACUGCUGAUAGACUUUGGUGUUCUCGACAGUUCCAUAUCAGGAGUGAAUUAGAGGAGAGCAGCAGUGUGGUGCAGUGGGUUUUUUUUUUUUUCACAUCCCUUUAAAUUUUGUUCCUGAGAUGAGUGCCUCACUUGCCUGUCCUUAGUUCUGACCCAUAACUGAAUCCAGAGGUUCAGAUGACCACAGCAUGAGUCAACUCCUUUGGGUCUGCUUAAUU